GGAAUUUUGGGCAAUGGGCGAAAGCCUGACCCAGCAACGCCGCGUGAGGGAUGAAGGCCCUCGGGUCGUAAACCUCUGUCGGGAGGGAAGAACGGUUCACGUUCAAACAGGACGGGAGCCUGACGGUACCUCCAAAGGAAGCACCGGCUCACUCCGUGCCAGCAGCCGCGGUAAUACGUAGGGUGCGAGCGUUAAUCGGAAUUACUGGGCGUAAAGCGUGCGCAGGCGGUUUGUUAAGACAGGUGUGAAAUCCCCGGGCUCAACCUGGGAAUUGCGCUUGUAACUGGCAGGCUAGAGUGUGUCAGAGGGAGGUAGAAUUCCACGUGUAGCAGUGAAAUGCGUAGAGAUGUGGAGGAAUACCGAUGGCGAAGGCAGCCUCCUGGGAUAACACUGACGCUCAUGCACGAAAGCGUGGGGAGCAAAC
rnacentral:rRNA from 1 species